rnacentral:rRNA from 1 species
GAUGAACGCUGGCGGCGUGCCUAAUACAUGCCAGUCGAGCGAACGGACGAGAAGCUUGCUUCUCUGAUGUUAGCGGCGGACGGGUGAGUAACACGUGGAUAACCUACCUAUAAGACUGGGAUAACUUCGGGAAACCGGAGCUAAUACCGGAUAAUAUUUUGAACCGCAUGGUUCAAAAGUGAAAGACGGUCUUGCUGUCACUUAUAGAUGGAUCCGCGCUGCAUUAGCUAGUUGGUAAGGUAACGGCUUACCAAGGCAACGAUGCAUAGCCGACCUGAGGGGGUGAUCGGCCACACUGGAACUGAGACACGGUCCAGACUCCUACGGGAGGCAGCAGUAGGGAAUCUUCCGCAAUGGGCGAAAGCCUGACGGAGCAACGCCGCGUGAGUGAUGAAGGUCUUCGGAUCGUAAAACUCUGUUAUUAGGGAAGAAUAUAUGUGUAAGUAACUGUGCACAUCUUGACGGUACCUAAUCAGAAAGCCACGGCUAACUACGUG